rnacentral:lncRNA from 1 species
CUCUAAUAUACUUGGUGUGGAUUUGAUGCAUGAUUUGAUUUUAUUAUGUAUGAUGAGCAUGCUCGGCAUUUGAUGCCAUUAUGAUAAGAAGCUAUGAUCAUAUGCUAGGCACGUGGGUGUCUUAUGUUAGGGCGGACGCGCUCUAUAUGUUAUGAAAAGGUUGGCGACCUAAGGCCAUUAUGAAUAAGCUAUGAAAACUUAUCUGCUUCUUUUUCUCCUAAGUGUAUGUGAGCCCUUGUAAAAUAGUUUUAAGAAAGUGAAGUAAAUGA